ensembl:lncRNA
AUGGAUCUCUGCCUCCAUAUUCAUCGGUCGUUCCAGGGAGAAGGUCAGGGGGGGAGGGGAGGGGAACAGCUUGGGUAAACCAACACAGCCCAGGUCUUCAUAGCCGACCUAGCUCUCAAACGUCUCCUGACCCCGUUUCCUCCAACACACUCCGGUUUCCUUCCCCUCGGUUUCGUUUACUUACUCACCGUCUUCCCUUUAGCUAACGCGUGGGAUGAGCCAUGGAUCACACCGCGCCCACCCGGUGUCCAGAAGUCCAAAGAUCAGCCCGGUGCCGUCCAGGACACCCCCUGGGCCAGCGGGCACCGUAGCCGUGAGCUACGUCCUCAGGUGGAGCCGCGACGGAGGAGGGAGGUCGGUUGGCCUUUGGAAGAUUACAUCAGAUCCUAUUUAUACGUACACCGGUAUCAUAAUGAAAACCACACUGUCACCUUUAUAUCCAGAAGAUAUUGACUACGCAGUGAGUAAGGCAUUGGAGCCGUCUCCCUUCAUCGCCGGUGAUGGCGAUAACCCACUGCUGCACGUGCCACCAUCGUGACCGGAUCUCUGUGGAAACACCUCCUCCUAGGGGCCGUGGACCGGAGCUCUCCGGUGGGACCAGAGCUCUCCGGAUCUCGGUUCCGAAACUCUGCUGAGAAGCUCGGGAUAUCGACCAUACUAAACCCGACAUUGUGACUGCCUCUUAAUAAUGAGAAGUAAAAAAAAAAAAACUCAAACACGAAUUGGUCUUGUCCAAUUUAAAUUGUCUAAGUUCUCAACGGUUAUUUAAAAAAAAAAUAACGACCGCAACAUAACGUUAUGACAGCCUCUUUGGGAGUCUUAAUCACAUAUUACUCAGUUAAUCACCUCCCACACAGCAAGGUCCAUAAACAUUGUCUUGGACCACCUGAUAUCCUGGACAUUUGCCAAUGUUUCUUUUAUUUCUUUUAUCUUUAUUUAUUACAUAUUUCUUUAUUUAUCACAUAGUCCUAUUUCUUGGCCUCCACUUGACAACAUUCCAGCUGUUUUACCCCCGCUCAGCCGUCAAAUAAUAGACGGGCACACUCCUCAGCCAAUGGCGGAGCGCUGCCCGGUGUCUGCUCGCU